rnacentral:rRNA from 1 species
GACGAACGCUGGCGGCGUGCCUAAUACAUGCAAGUCGAGCGGACUUUCAAGAAGCUUGCUUUUUGAAAGUUAGCGGCGGACGGGUGAGUAACACGUGGGCAACCUGCCUGCAAGACGGGGAUAACUCCGGGAAACCGGGGCUAAUACCGGAUAAUAUCUUCCUUCGCAUGAAGGAAGGUUGAAAGGCGGCACAAGCUGCCGCUUGCAGAUGGGCCCGCGGCGCAUUAGCUAGUUGGUGAGGUAACGGCUCACCAAGGCGACGAUGCGUAGCCGACCUGAGAGGGUGAUCGGCCACACUGGGACUGAGACACGGCCCAGACUCCUACGGGAGGCAGCAGUAGGGAAUCUUCCGCAAUGGACGAAAGUCUGACGGAGCAACGCCGCGUGAGCGAAGAAGGUCUUCGGAUCGUAAAGCUCUGUUGUCAGGGAAGAACAAGUACCGUUCGAACAGGGCGGUACCUUGACGGUACCUGACCAGAAAGCCACGGCUAACUACGUG